AAACGGUCCUGUAAGCAGUAGAGUAGCCUUGUUGUUACGAUCUGCUGAGGGUAAGCCGUCCUUCGCCUCGAUUUCCCCAAUGGGUUCUC
rnacentral:rRNA from 1 species